rnacentral:rRNA from 1 species
UACGUAGGGGGCAAGCGUUGUCCGGAUUUAUUGGGCGUAAAGAGCUCGUAGGCGGUUUGUCGCGUCGACUGUGAAAACCUACAGCUUAACUGUGGGCUUGCAGUCGAUACGGGCAGACUUGAGUUCGGUAGGGGAGACUGGAAUUCCUGGUGUAGCGGUGAAAUGCGCAGAUAUCAGGAGGAACACCGGUGGCGAAGGCGGGUCUCUGGGCCGAUACUGACGCUGAGGAGCGAAAGCGUGGGGAGCGAACAGG